rnacentral:rRNA from 1 species
GACGAACGCUGGCGGCGUGCUUAACACAUGCAAGUCGAACGGAAAGGCCCUGCUCUUGUGGGGUGCUCGAGUGGCGAACGGGUGAGUAACACGUGAGUAACCUGCCCUUGACUUUGGGAUAACUUCAGGAAACUGGGGCUAAUACCGGAUAGGAGCUCCUGCUGCAUGGUGGGGGUUGGAAAGUUUCGGCGGUUGGGGAUGGACUCGCGGCUUAUCAGCUUGUUGGUGGGGUAGUGGCUUACCAAGGCUUUGACGGGUAGCCGGCCUGAGAGGGUGACCGGCCACAUUGGGACUGGGAUACGGCCCAGACGCCUACGGGAGGCAUCAGUGGGGAAUAUUGCACAAUGGGCGGAAGCCGGAUGCAGCAACGCCGCGUGCGGGAUGACGGCCUUCGGGUUGUAAACCGCUUUCGCCUGUGACGAAGCGUGAGUGACGGUAAUGGGUAAAGAAGCACCGGCAAACUACGG